rnacentral:ncRNA from 1 species
CUUAUCAAGAGUGGCGGAGGAACUGGUCCUGUGAAGCCCGGCAACCUAAUUGCGGAAAGUUAUUUCUGACAGGAAAGGUGCUAAAUCCUGCGGUGAAAAGCCGAGAGAUGAG